GUCGAGUGGGUGAUCAUGGAAACUUGUCGUAAGAUUAGUGACGUCAACAUCUUCGGGACCAUCGCCGUCACCAAGACCUUCCUCCCUCUCAUCAGGAAGGCAAAGGGUCGAAUUGUGUCUUUGGGCAGCGGGCGGGGCCGCCUCCCCUUCCCUAUAGGCACCACCUAUGACCUCACGCCCUCGAGGGCUUCAAUGACGGACUCAGAAACGAGAUGAGACGAUUUGGUAUUGACGUUUGCCUCAUUGAACCUGGCAACUUCACAGCGGGAACGGGCAUCUUCCGCGAGAGUGACGUGAGGCGUGACGGGAAGGCCAUGUGGGCAGCCAUGGACGAAGAGGUCAAGACUUUUUUCUUUCUUUUUUUUUACGGGAAUUAGC